GUGAUGAACUUACCACUGCAAAGAACUUUACUAUGCAUCAUAUGGUGAAAUUUAAAGAACCAGAUUCAUUCUUCCCCACACCCAAACACCCCACAAUGACAAAGAAAAACUGAAGAAAUAUUAAACAGGAAAU